rnacentral:rRNA from 1 species
AAUCUGUCGCAAUGGGCGAAAGCCUGACGCUGCAACGCCGCGUGAACGAUGAAGGCCUUCGGGUCNUCAAGUUCUGUCAGGGGGGANGAAUUUAUGACGGUACCCCCAGAGGAAGCCCCGGCUAACUACGUGCCAGCAGCCGCGGUAACACGUAGGGGGCAAGCGUUGUCCGGAAUUACUGGGCGUAAAGGGCGUGUAGGCGGCGGAUCAAGUCAGGUGUGAAAAUCCAGGGCUCAACCCUGGACGUGCACUUGAAACUGGUUCGCUUGAGUGCAGAAGAGGAAAGUGGAAUUCCCAGUGUAGCGGUGAAAUGCGUAGAUAUUGGGAGGAACACCAGUGGCGAAGGCGACUUUCUGGUCUGUAACUGACGCUGAGGCGCGAAAGCUAGGGGAGCGAAC